AAUGAACGUUGGCGACGUGGAUUAGGCAUGCAAGUCGUUCGCCCCGCGAGGGGCGAGGCGCAAGGGUGAGUAAGGCGACGGCAACCAACCCCGAGGGUGGGCAUAGCCGCGGGAAACUGCGGGUAAUUCCCAGCGAAGUCGGAGGGUGGCAUCAUCCACCGACCAAAGGUGCGAUAUCCGCCUCGGGACGGGUCGUCGUGGUAUCAGCUAGUUGGUGGGGUAACGGCCCACCAAGGCGAAGACGCCUACCGGGCGUGCGAGCGUGGCCCGGCACACUGGGACUGAGACACUGCCCAGACACCUACGGGUGGCUGCAGUCGAGAAUCUUCGGCAAUGGGCGCAAGCCCGACCGAGCGACGUCGCGUGGAGGACGAAGGCCUUCGGGUUGUAAACUCCUGUCGAGGGGGAACAAGGGCCGGUGGAGAGCCGGACUUGAGUGAUCCCUGGAGGAAGCACGGGCUAAGUUCGUGCCAGCCGCCGCCGUAACAC
rnacentral:rRNA from 1 species